AUUGAACGCUGGCGGCAUGCCUCACACAUGCAAGUCGAACGGCAGCACGGGAGCAAUCCUGGUGGCGAGUGGCGAACGGGUGAGUAAUGUAUCGGAACGUACCCAGUCGUGGGGGAUAACGUAGCGAAAGCUACGCUAAUACCGCAUACGAUCUAUGGAUGAAAGCGGGGGAUCGCAAGACCUCGCGCGAUUGGAGCGGCCGAUAUCAGAUUAGGUAGUUGGUGGGGUAAAGGCUCACCAAGCCGACGAUCUGUAGCUGGUCUGAGAGGACGACCAGCCACACUGGGACUGAGACACGGCCCAGACUCCUACGGGAGGCAGCAGUGGGGAAUUUUGGACAAUGGGCGCAAGCCUGAUCCAGCAAUGCCGCGUGCAGGAUGAAGGCCUUCGGGUUGUAAACUGCUUUUGUACGGAACGAAACGGCGAGCUCUAAUACAGUUUGCUAAUGACGGUACCGUAAGAAUAAGCACCGGCUAACUACGUGCCAGCAGCCGCAGUAA
rnacentral:rRNA from 1 species